rnacentral:rRNA from 1 species
UACGUAGGGUGCGAGCGUUGUCCGGAAUUACUGGGCGUAAAGAGCUCGUAGGUGGUUUGUCGCGUUGUCCGUGAAAACUCACAACUCAAUUGUGGGCGUGCGGGCGAUACGGGCAGACUGGAGUACUGCAGGGGAGACUGGAAUUCCUGGUGUAGCGGUGGAAUGCGCAGAUAUCAGGAGGAACACCGGUGGCGAAGGCGGGUCUCUGGGCAGUAACUGACGCUGAGGCACGAAAGCGUGGGGAGCAAACAGG